UACGGAGGGUGCGAGCGUUGUCCGGAAUCACUGGGCGUAAAGGGCGCGUAGGCGGCUUUUAAGGUGCGGUGAAGCCCGGGGCUUAACCCGGUCGGCCGUGCCGACUGAAAGCUGGAGCACUGUAGAGGCAGGUGGAAUUCCGGGUGGUAGCGGUGGAAUGCGUAGAGAUCCGGAAGAACACCAGUGGCGAAGGCGGACCUGCUGGGCAGUUGCGUGACGCUGAGGCGCGACAGCG
rnacentral:rRNA from 1 species